rnacentral:rRNA from 1 species
UACGGGGGGGGGCAAGCGUUGUUCGGAAUUACUGGGCGUAAAGGGCUCGUAGGCGGCCAACUAAGUCGGAUGUGAAAUCCCCCAGGCUCAACCUGGGAACUGCAUCCGAUACUGGAUGGCUUGAAUUCGGGAGAGGGAUGCAGAAUUCCAGGUGUAGCGGUGAAAUGCGUAGAUAUCAGGAAGAACACCAAUGGCGAAGGCAGCUCUCUGGGACGGUACUGACGCUGAGACGCGAAAGCGUGGGGAGCGAACAGG